UAGGGAAUAUUGGACAAUGGGCGCAAGCCUGAUCCAGCCAUGCCGCGUGAGUGAAGAAGGCCCUCGGGUUGUAAAGCUCUUUUGUCCGGAAAGAAAAGCGCCGGGUUAAUACCCUGGUGUCCUGACGGUACCGGAAGAAUAAGCACCGGCUAACUUCGUGCCAGCAGCCGCGGUAAUACGAAGGGUGCAAGCGUUACUCGGAAUUACUGGGCGUAAAGCGUGCGUAGGUGGUUCGUUAAGUCCGAUGUGAAAGCCCUGGGCUCAACCUGGGAAUGGCAUUGGAUACUGGCGGGCUAGAGUGCGGUAGAGGAUAGUGGAAUUCCUGGUGUAGCAGUGAAAUGCGUAGAGAUCAGGAGGAACAUCCGUGGCGAAGGCGACUGUCUGGACCAGCACUGACACUGAGGCACGAAAGCGUGGGGAGCAAACA
rnacentral:rRNA from 1 species